UAGAGGGGUUCUGAUCUGGU
rnacentral:misc_RNA from 1 species